rnacentral:rRNA from 1 species
UACGUAGGGUGCGAGCGUUGUCCGGAAUUAUUGGGCGUAAAGAGCUUGUAGGCGGUUUGUCGCGUCUGCUGUGAAAAUCCGGGGCUCAACCCCGGACUUGCAGUGGGUACGGGCAGACUAGAGUGCGGUAGGGGAGACUGGAAUUCCUGGUGUAGCGGUGGAAUGCGCAGAUAUCAGGAGGAACACCGAUGGCGAAGGCAGGUCUCUGGGCCGCAACUGACGCUGAGGAGCGAAAGCGUGGGGAGCGAACAGG